UGUACGCUCUCCUGUACUCCUUCCUGCCCGUAGCUGCCAGCAUUGAGCCAAAGGCCGAGAGAUACCUGCUGCUGCUCAAUGAUUCUUGCGACACUUUGCCACCACACAGGGGUCUAGACACAAAUGCACUACAUUACUUUGCACUGAAUUUUACAUUUUUAAAUAAAAUAACUAGUAGUUCAAAA